GAUUCCAACACUUUGUGAUUCGCCAACGCAAAAAGCUGGAGCACCAAAUGAGGAGGUCUCUUCAUCUGACACUUCGGAAGGGGAGGGAUGCAAACAGGGAAAUGAGGAGAGAGAUGGGUUAAAAAAAAUCGAGGAAAUUAAAAGACAAGUGGAAAGGAAGCGGUACCACCAGCGGCCAGGCAUCGUGGUAUUUCUAAACUACCAACCCAGGAGGUUUUACUUUUAAGAGAACGAUUGGGAGAGAGUGAUCGAACGUGUCAAAGAGAGCGAGGCAGAGAAAGAGAGAGAACGUGCAGUGGUAAAGUGCAUCUGUUUUGACAGCUUCUGCUAUACGCCACAUAAGUUUGUUAGUGAACAGCGUUGAACCCCCAGUGAGAACGCAGAAAAUCACUUAUUUUCCACUAUCCAAUAUUUCUAUUUCCACUUUUAAGAAGCCCAUAGGUUUCGAGUAAUAUGAAUGACAACAACGACAGUAGCAUACUAGUAGCUUAAUAAUAAUAACAACAUUGGAAAUAUUAAAUUAUGUUAUGUUAAUAUUGCCAUAAAACUAUGGGAUCGUAAAAGGCUGAUGUUUGGGGCAAAUGAAUAUUUGAAUGAUGAAAUGGGAGAUCCUGCUGUAAUAUGGAUUACAGUGAGCAGUUAUGUCCACACACGGGCCCAGCUAAUAAUCGCAUAAUAACAUAAUGCCAGCGUGAAUCAGUUGCUACUUUAAAUGCACAGAAUGACAAGGCAAAUGUCAGACUUUUCAGCAUGCAAAAACUACCGUAAGAGCAGACUACGCUUGCAACAUUAUUGGGCGGUCAAUAAAGGUUAGUCGCUGGUCAAGUAGUUUGCGUUUGUAAAGUACACCUACUGUAUGUUCUUACCUGAGCUGACGGCGACUCACCCCUACCGCUAGAAAAUAAACACUCACACUGUUUGGUGAGACGAAAAGAGAGCCCUGCGCUUACCUGAUCGACCAGAGUUGUGAGCCAUGGCUUUUCCCUGUCUAAUGGUCCGUUUCGUCGAUGCAGCCCACUAGAUCUGUCCGGCCUCCUGCGUUCCCUCCUCGGCUGGGCGUCCUGUCUCUCCCCGCUGCUUUCCACAACCUUUGACCGAUCAUCCAAAACUAAACGGGUUAGACGACAACAAAAAAGGAGAGCAACCUCUGCUCCACUGAACUAGAUUGAUAAAGGAGGGAAAAUAGCAAUCAAAGCAAAUAAAGCGUUGCGGGUGUUAUAUAAAAAGAAUAAAACUUGUCUGCUGGAA
rnacentral:lncRNA from 1 species